rnacentral:rRNA from 1 species
UUUAUACUGAGCGUAUGGGAACGUUAUCGAUAAGAAGAGAGCGUCUAGGCGAACAAUGUUCUUAAAGUUUGACCUCAAAUCAGGUAGGAGUACCCGCUGAACUUAAGCAUAUCAAUAAGCGGAGGAAAAGAAACCAACCGGGAUUGCCUUAGUAACGGCGAGUGAAGCGGCAAAAGCUCAAAUUUGAAAUCUGGUACCUUCGGUGCCCGAGUUGUAAUUUGGAGAGGGCAACUUUGGGGCCGUUCCUUGUCUAUGUUCCUUGGAACAGGACGUCAUAGAGGGUGAGAAUCCCGUGUGGCGAGGAGUGCGGUUCUUUGUAAAGUGCCUUCGAAGAGUCGAGUUGUUUGGGAAUGCAGCUCUAAGUGGGUGGUAAAUUCCAUCUAAAGCUAAAUAUUGGCGAGAGACCGAUAGCGAACAAGUACAGUGAUGGAAAGAUGAAAAGAACUUUGAAAAGAGAGUGAAAAAGUACGUGAAAUUGUUGAAAGGGAAGGGCAUUUGAUCAGACAUGGUGUUUUGUGCCCUCUGCUCCUUGUGGGUAGGGGAAUCUCGCAUUUCACUGGGCCAGCAUCAGUUUUGGUGGCAGGAUAAAUCCAUAGGAAUGUAGCUUGCCUCGGUAAGUAUUAUAGCCUGUGGGAAUACUGCCAGCUGGGACUGAGGACUGCGACGUAAGUCAAGGAUGCUGGCAUAAUGGUUAUAUGCCGCCCGUCU